rnacentral:rRNA from 1 species
UACGCAGGGGGCUAGCGUUGCUCGGAAUCACUGGGCGUAAAGCGCACGUAGGCGGAUCUUUAAGUCAGGGGUGAAAUCCCGGGGCUCAACCCCGGAACUGCCUUUGAUACUGGGUAUCUCGAGUCCGAGAGAGGUGAGUGGAAUUCCGAGUGUAGAGGUGAAAUUCGUAGAUAUUCGGAGGAACACCAGUGGCGAAGGCGGCUCACUGGCUCGGUACUGACGCUGAGGUGCGAAAGCGUGGGGAGCAAACAGG